CAAAUACAGCACAGAGUCCACUGGAUGACAUUCUAACAAUACAAUAAAUAAGAAAAGUACACUGUUCAGAGUAGCAGCUUGCUAUGUUCUUAAUAUAUAAUUAUUUGUAUGUAAUACCAAUCUAUAAAACUUUGUAAUUUGUGAUAUUCAUAUGCUUGCAUUUACAUAUUAGCAUUAUUUUCAUCAACUAAUAAACCUAAGACAGAACACAGUUUCUCUAUUUUAUAGUGAUUGCAUGAUUUGUCCAAGAUCACUCAGUGACCAGAACUGGGUUUUGCUAAGUCUCAUUUUCACUCCUGGCUUCUAUUUUCUUAAGUCUGGAGAAAGGAAGGCCAUGGCUGCCAUGCACUAAAGAG
rnacentral:lncRNA from 1 species